CUCAGACGUGGUGGUACUUUAUUCACUAAAAUCUGUCAAAAUCAGUGUAACGCCAAUAAUCAUCGUCCUACGGUUUACAAACAAUAUAAAAAGUACCAUACGUACAUGUCGGGACAAAACAACGAAAACAUAAAAAUAAAAUAUAUUUUAAAUAUAAGAAAAUAAACACCAGAAAGUCCCACUUUAUCGACGACAUCUGUAGUCGUAACUCGUAAUAGAGGAAGAUGGUAUUCAAGUAAGUGCUUUUGUAAUCAUCUCUCUUCUAAUCAGAGUUAUUUAACGGGUUGUGUUGAUUAGCGUUCGAGCUUAUGUUAAGUAUUUGAUUUGUCUUAAAAGUCUCCAACCAGCUACCAGAGAGAAUCUUUAAACACCUAACCGGAUUGCAAUAAGAAUCCUCCCUAAACCGGAUUCAAAUCUCACAAACACACAAUUAACACCAUAAUCAUUAGAACAAAACAAAAGCAAGAAUCAAUUAGUUCAAAAAACCCAGUUGCAAAUUUUGCAUGUUCUAAUAUAUAAUAAAAAACCGAGAAUGCUGAAAACCGAAAUAACAUUUAAAU